rnacentral:rRNA from 5 species
AGAGUUUGAUCAUGGCUCAGAUUGAACGCUGGCGGCAGGCCUAACACAUGCAAGUCGAGCGGUAGCACAGAGAGCUUGCUCUCGGGUGACGAGCGGCGGACGGGUGAGUAAUGUCUGGGAAACUGCCUGAUGGAGGGGGAUAACUACUGGAAACGGUAGCUAAUACCGCAUAACGUCGCAAGACCAAAGUGGGGGACCUUCGGGCCUCAUGCCAUCAGAUGUGCCCAGAUGGGAUUAGCUAGUAGGUGGGGUAACGGCUCACCUAGGCGACGAUCCCUAGCUGGUCUGAGAGGAUGACCAGCCACACUGGAACUGAGACACGGUCCAGACUCCUACGGGAGGCAGCAGUGGGGAAUAUUGCACAAUGGGCGCAAGCCUGAUGCAGCCAUGCCGCGUGUGUGAAGAAGGCCUUCGGGUUGUAAAGCACUUUCAGCGGGGAGGAAGGCGUUAAGGUUAAUAACCUUGGCGAUUGACGUUACCCGCAGAAGAAGCACCGGCUAACUCCGUGCCAGCAGCCGCGGUAAUACGGAGGGUGCAAGCGUUAAUCGGAAUUACUGGGCGUAAAGCGCACGCAGGCGGUCUGUCAAGUCGGAUGUGAAAUCCCCGGGCUCAACCUGGGAACUGCAUUCGAAACUGGCAGGCUAGAGUCUUGUAGAGGGGGGUAGAAUUCCAGGUGUAGCGGUGAAAUGCGUAGAGAUCUGGAGGAAUACCGGUGGCGAAGGCGGCCCCCUGGACAAAGACUGACGCUCAGGUGCGAAAGCGUGGGGAGCAAACAGGAUUAGAUACCCUGGUAGUCCACGCCGUAAACGAUGUCGAUUUGGAGGUUGUGCCCUUGAGGCGUGGCUUCCGGAGCUAACGCGUUAAAUCGACCGCCUGGGGAGUACGGCCGCAAGGUUAAAACUCAAAUGAAUUGACGGGGGCCCGCACAAGCGGUGGAGCAUGUGGUUUAAUUCGAUGCAACGCGAAGAACCUUACCUGGUCUUGACAUCCACAGAACUUAGCAGAGAUGCUUUGGUGCCUUCGGGAACUGUGAGACAGGUGCUGCAUGGCUGUCGUCAGCUCGUGUUGUGAAAUGUUGGGUUAAGUCCCGCAACGAGCGCAACCCUUAUCCUUUGUUGCCAGCGGUUAGGCCGGGAACUCAAAGGAGACUGCCAGUGAUAAACUGGAGGAAGGUGGGGAUGACGUCAAGUCAUCAUGGCCCUUACGACCAGGGCUACACACGUGCUACAAUGGCAUAUACAAAGAGAAGCGACCUCGCGAGAGCAAGCGGACCUCAUAAAGUAUGUCGUAGUCCGGAUUGGAGUCUGCAACUCGACUCCAUGAAGUCGGAAUCGCUAGUAAUCGUAGAUCAGAAUGCUACGGUGAAUACGUUCCCGGGCCUUGUACACACCGCCCGUCACACCAUGGGAGUGGGUUGCAAAAGAAGUAGGUAGCUUAACCUUCGGGAGGGCGCUUACCACUUUGUGAUUCAUGACUGGGGUGAAGUCGUAACAAGGUAACCGUAGGGGAACCUGCGGUUGGAUCACCU